rnacentral:rRNA from 1 species
CGUAGGUAACCUGCCUUGUAGCGGGGGAGUAACUAUUGGAAACGAUAGCUAAUACCGCAUAACAAUGGAUGACACAUGUCAUUUAUUUUGAAAGGGGCAAUUGCUCCACUACAAGAUGGACCUGCGUUGUAUUAGCUAGUAGGUGAGGUAACGGCUCACCUAGGCGACGAUACAUAGCCGACCUGAGAGGGUGAUCGGCCACACUGGGACUGAGACACGGCCCAG